ACGCACGCUGGCGGCGUGCUUCACACCUGCCAGUCGAACGGAAAGGCCCUGCUUUUGUGGGGUGCUCGAGUGGCGAACGGGUGAGUAACACGUGAGUAACCUGCCCUUGACUUUGGGAUAACUUCAGGAAACUGGGGCUAAUACCGGAUAGGAGCUCCUGCUCCAUGGUGGGGGUUGGAAAGUUUCGGCGGUUGGGGAUGGACUCGCGGCUUAUCAGCUUGUUGGUGGGGUAGUGGCUUACCAAGGCUUUGACGGGUAGCCGGCCUGAGAGGGUGACCGGCCACAUUGGGACUGAGAUACGGCCCAGACUCCUACGGGAGGCAGCAGUGGGGAAUAUUGCACAAUGGGCGGAAGCCUGAUGCAGCAACGCCGCGUGCGGGAUGACGGCCUUCGGGUUGUAAACCGCUUUCGCCUGUGACGAAGCGUGAGUGACGGUAAUGGGUAAAGAAGCACCGGCUAACUACGUG
rnacentral:rRNA from 1 species